rnacentral:rRNA from 1 species
AUUGAACGCUGGCGGCAUGCCUUACACAUGCAAGUCGAACGGCAGCACGGGUGCUUGCACCUGGUGGCGAGUGGCGAACGGGUGAGUAAUACAUCGGAACAUGUCCUGUAGUGGGGGAUAGCCCGGCGAAAGCCGGAUUAAUACCGCAUACGAUCUACGGAUGCAAGCGGGGGACCGUCGGGCCUCGCGCGAUAGGGUUGGCCGAUGGCUGAUUAGCUAGUUGGUGGGGUAAAGGCCUACCAAGGCGACGAUCAGUAGCUGGUCUGAGAGGACGACCAGCCACACUGGGACUGAGACACGGCCCAGACUCCUACGGGAGGCAGCAGUGGGGAAUUUUGGACAAUGGGCGAAAGCCUGAUCCAGCAAUGCCGCGUGUGUGAAGAAGGCCUUCGGGUUGUAAAGCACUUUUGUCCGGAAAGAAAUCCUUGGCCCUAAUACGGUCGGGGGAUGACGGUACCGGAAGAAUAAGCACCGGCUAACUACGUG